AUUGAACGCUGGCGGCAGGCCUAACACAUGCAAGUCGAGCGAGCGGCGGACGGGUGAGUAAUGUAUGGGGACUGCCCGAUCGAGGGGGAUAACUACUGGAAACGGUGGCUACUACCGCAUACUAUCGGAUAACCCAUAUGGGAUUAGCGAGUAGGUGGGGUAAAGGCUCACCUAGGCGACGAUCUCUAGCUGGUCUGAGAGGAUGAUCAGCCACAUUGGGACUGCGAUACGGCCCAGACUCGGACGGAGGGGACAGUGGGGGAUAUUGCACAAUGGGCGAAAGCCUGAUGCAGCGACGCCGCGUGGGGGAUGAAGGCUGUCGGGUUGUAAACCUCUUUCGCUAUCGAAAGGGUAGGUGGAGAAGAAGCGCCGGCUAACUACGUGCCAGCAGCCGCGGUAAUUC
rnacentral:rRNA from 1 species